rnacentral:rRNA from 1 species
AACGAACGCUGGCGGCAUGCCUAACACAUGCAAGUCGAACGAACUGAUUAGAAGCUUGCUUCUAUGACGUUAGCGGCGGACGGGUGAGUAACACGUGGGCAACCUGCCUGUAAGACUGGGAUAACUUCGGGAAACCGAAGCUAAUACCGGAUAGAAUCUUCUCCUUCAUGGGAGAUGAUUGAAAGAUGGUUUCGGCUAUCACUUACAGAUGGGCCCGCGGUGCAUUAGCUAGUUGGUGAGGUAACGGCUCACCAAGGCAACGAUGCAUAGCCGACCUGAGAGGGUGAUCGUCCACACUGGGACUGAGACACGGCCCAGACGCCUACGGGAGGCAGCAGUAGGGAAUCUUCCGCAAUGGACGAAAGUCUGACGGAGCAACGCCGCGUGAGUGAUGAAGGCUUUCGGGUCGUAAAACGCUGUUGUUAGGGAAGAACAAGUACGAGAGUAACUGCUCGUACCUUGACGGUACCUAACCAGAAAGCCACGGCUAACUACGUGCCAGCAGCCGCAGUAAGAC